GACGAACGCUGGCGGCGCGCCUAACACAUGCAAGUCGAACGGAAUCGAGAGGAGCUUGCUUUUCUUGAUUUAGUGGCGAACGGGUGAGUAACGCGUGAGUAACCUGCCCUGGAGUGGGGGACAACAGUUGGAAACGACUGCUAAUACCGCAUAAGCCCACGGUGCCGCAUGGCACUGCGGGAAAAGGAUUUAUUCGCUUCAGGAUGGACUCGCGUCCAAUUAGCUAGUUGGUGAGGUAACGGCCCACCAAGGCGACGAUUGGUAGCCGGACUGAGAGGUUGAACGGCCACAUUGGGACUGAGACACGGCCCAGACUCCUGCGGGAGGCAGCAGUGGGGGAUAUUGCACAAUGGGGGAAACCCUGAUGCAGCGACGCCGCGUGGAGGAAGAAGGUUUUCGGAUUGUAAACUCCUGUCGUUAGGGACGAUAAUGACGGUACCUAACAAGAAAGCACCGGCUAACUACGUGCCAGCAGCCGCAGUAA
rnacentral:rRNA from 1 species